AGUAGUUUGAUCAGUGGCUCGAGGACGAACGCUGGCGGCGUGCUUAACACAUGCAAGUCGAACGGAGUUAAGCGCUGGUUUGAUGCUAGCUUGCUAGCGGAUUUCCUUGCUUAACUUAGUGGCGGACGGGUGAGUAACGCGUGAGUAACCUGCCUCUCAGUGGGGAAUAACGCCCUGAAAAGAGCGCUAAUACCGCAUAACACAUAUUGACCGCAUGAUCGGUAUGUCAAAGAUUUAUCGCUGAGAGAUGGACUCGCGUCCGAUUAGCUAGUUGGUGAGGUAACGGCCCACCAAGGCGACGAUCGGUAGCCGGACUGAGAGGUUGAACGGCCACAUUGGGACUGAGACACGGCCCAGACUCC
rnacentral:rRNA from 1 species